AACGAAAUUUACUCACCUUUUCUCCCUUCAUUACGCUUGCUCUCUGCAAAUUAUUGGCGAAAGGACUCAAUCAAAAAGAUUUUCUUUUCAAAUUCAAGAUUCAAUAAAAAAUGGCGGUGAAACCAACAGUAGCCUUGAGGGCUUUACUUGUAGGAGGGAUAGCUGUUUUUGCGAAAGUAGCUGGUGUGAUGAAGGCUGCUGGUGGGGCAAAGUUGGGUGCAGCUGCGGCUGCCAUGACUGUGGCAGCAUCUGCUGCUGUGACAGGAUCAAAACAGGACCCAAAAGAUGCAUCUAAGCAACCUUCAAAAUGAUCUUUCUUUUUUCCUUCUUUCUUUCUGCAGCUUAUAGACAUUUGUAACAUACAUUAGCAUUGUCAGCUACUCCCAUGAGCUUAUCGGGAGCAGAUGGCUGUCUGAAUUGUAAUUUUGGUCAUCAUAGAGCUUCUAAAAUCACUUGAAAUAAUAGAAACCAACACUGUUGACUUGAAUUAA